CUAAGGCCCGAAACGUAAUGUGCAGUGUGAACGCAGCCAUUCACAGAAAGUAAAGUUUGUAUGGUCGCGGUAGAGCAGUGUGGCUCCGUGCGGCGUACCGACCGGUCCGUAAUGGCGCGUUGACGACUUGCACCGCGAUCCUGCUGUCAAACUGACAAGUGUUAAAGCCGGUGACAACUGAUUGGAACAACAUGUGGCGGUUGUGGAGCUGCGUCCUCGCCAGCGCGCUGCUGGCGGCCGUACGUGCACAGAAUACGGAGAGUACAGGUGAAUUUUCACCUGUCGUGCGGGCAACAUGCAAGACUGGCAUCAUGUCGAUUAAAAUAAAUUUUAAUCAACCGUUUAACGGUGUCGUGCAUGCCAGAGAAUUUAGGACACCCGCCUGCAUGGCUCUAGGUAACGGUACCGAGUCCCUCGGCUUCGACAUCAGUCUGGACGCGCCGCAGGGCUCGCCAGAUUACUGCGGAGUGUUUUGGAAUAAUCGGACGGACGAACGAUCUCUGCCGCUGGCGGUUCGCGUGCAUCGGACCCUAGAAUUGGCCGACGAUAAAUUUUAUGUCAUUACUUGCGGCAAAGCAGGAUUCAAAAAUGCUCGAAACGAAACUUCGCUCGUAUCACUACGAAUGCUUAACGAUCAAGGACGGAAAGUAUUAAAUGCAGGUUUUGGACUACCUUAUACUUUGAAAGCAGAAAUAAGCAAACCGGACGGUACACACGGCAUCAGAAUGAAAAAUUGCUUCGCUUUCAACAUGCGGAACAACACAGUCGAACUACUGGACAACAGAGGAUGUCCUGUAAAACAACAAUCGGUAAUAGCGAAAUCGGAAGGCAGCACCGCGGAACUGGCAAUAGCGUCAAUGUUCCGGUUUCCAGACUCCUCACAAGUUAAUUUCCAGUGUGACAUCGCCAUAUGUAAAGGAAGUACCUGCGCUGCGGUAGACUGCGGGGAUGGCAACAGUGGCAACCCUAAUGACGAAGAUGGGACAGUCACUACUUCAACAGGGAUAUUCGUACUAGAUCCAAACGACAGCACCAUUGCAGCGAUGUCCUGUUUGGAGGGUGGCGUGCGUCCGCUGUGGCUGCUGUACCUGGCCAUCGCGUUGGGCGUCAUGUUCCUCGUCAUGUUGCUCAUCAACUGCUUCCUCUGCACCGCCAUGACUUGCUCGUGUGCCAGGACUGACGUAAUUGAAAAAGAUCCUUCCGUAGUGGAGGACUACGACCCAUACCGCAGCUGGCACGGCAGUCAGUACGGCAGCCGGUAUCCAUCAUCCACGAUUCAUUCCACAAGAUCCGUGUCGGACAAUAGUGACCACUACGCCAUCGUACAGUCAAGGCCGGGCAGUCGACACUCUGGAAUGCAUCGAAGCAGACACUAAAAAGGGUAGAACCAUCAACAAUACCCCGUAAUUUCCUGAACACCAACAUGAGCUUCUGAUACGUGAAAAACUGAGUCAAUCUGGUUCACCCAGGACAGACGGCUAUCUACAACUACACCGAGAUGAUGACAAAUUGCCCUGAAAUGCGAAUUUUACUGAAAUUCUAACAUCAAUCAACAGAUAAAACUAUAAAUUCGUUAUGAAUAUAUCUAUAGUUUCGUAAAGUUUAUUGAAUCAUGUUGAUUGAUAGUUUUAAGUAUCUGUAUUCAAAAAUUCACAAUCGAUAAAAUGUUACCUUCACAGCAACAAUCUUUAUAUCGUGUAUAAGAAUUUACUUGUGCCAUUUUGAUAUGUACCUUAAAUGAGUUUAUACAAUGUCUUUAUUGUAAAUGAAUACCUGACAUAUGCAUCGAAUCCGUCCACGAUCGAAUUAAGUAUUAAAGCGUUAGAAACGAGUUGUACGUGUAUUAAUAAAUAAUUUACUUGUACGUUAUAAGGUUGUGUUUGUGUACUAAAGUAUUAUUAAAAUAUUUUAUAAGCAUUUAUUACUAUAACCGUGAAUGACGUAUAUAUGUGCGUACUCUGAACAUUCGAGUCACGUUAUUGUAAGACCUAAAGGUUAAUGAUUGCGGUGAUAGUGUUAAGAAUCGAUAUAAUAAUGUAUUUGUUCUUUCUUUACCUAGCGUGGGCUACAUAUAGUCUUAUUUGCACACCAAAAUCUAUUUCAACGGACGUUCAACCUUGAAUCUUACAAGUAUGAGCAAUUAUAGGUGUAAUUAACAUAAUUUAAUAUAAGGAAAUGUAGGCUAAACAUACCACAUCAUCACUGUGAAUUGUUAAUACUACUAAUGAACUGCGUAACUUAGAUAUUUUUAUAAUAAAAUUAUAUUCUUAGGUAUUAUAGGUAUCGUAAUAACAAAGGUAUGAUAACAUUGAUAGAUAUAGUUGGAGUGCUCAAAACUAAGGCUUCCAAUAUUAUAGUGUUUGUAAAUAAUAACAUCAGUUUAUAAUAAAUUAAUGAGUAAAAAAAUAUGAAUGUGUGUUAUGUGAAUGAGUGUCAGUGAGAUGUCAAUCCACUACUUGUGUAACGUUUUGGCUGCGAAAUAAAUUGAUUGAGGAAUAAA